GUUAACUUCUGUAGCACGCCCACGAUAUGCCGCAGCCUGCGGUAGCAUAGUAGUGCUAAGGUGCUAAUGCACAUUAGCUUGAGCAAAAAACGGACUUGGAAAGAAGUUUCAGCUCCUACUCUCUGUGGCAGCUAUGGAGAUUCUGAUGCUUCUGGAAGAUCACAACCACGACAUGUAAGUACGCUUCAUUAAUUGUCUUUUUUAUUUGUUUGAAAACAACUUUUGAGCUGCUACGGAUAUAUUAGUUCUGUGGAGGCUGUCUGUAGCUGAACUGUAAGCCUCGGCUAACAUGCUAAGUAAUGCUAUUUUUCAAAAUAGGCAGUAUUUAUUAUUAUUACUAUUUAUCAACUUUCAGCUAAAGCGGUAACAGGUAUAGCAGUGUUAACCACCCUCAGACAUGUAAGUAUUGUUUUGGGGCUCCAGAUCAGCUUUUUACAGACUCAGAGCAUUAUUGGACUCUGCAACCGGCUGACAUUGUUGUGGUUAGCCUCUCUCUACUCUGCUGUGUCUCCACUUCUGCAUAAAACAGUUUUGUUACUUUGCAUUUGUUUAUUGGUGUGAGAAGCUUGAAAGGUGCUAAAGUUCGGGUUUUGACCAUGGUUCGAGACGGUCUAAUGAAUGUAAAAUCCACUUUGUUACAGUAUCUGAGCUUUAUAAGACUCUGCUAACUUCCCGGCUAACACAGCUGUUGUUAUCCUCUUUCUACUCUCUUAUCCACCUCUGAGUAAAACUGCUUUGUUACGUGGUGAUUUUUUAUCGAUGUAGUAAGCAGAUUACACAGGCAACAAGCUCCAGUAUCCUAACGAGUGUACCAAGGUUCCAUGAUGAGGUUGGGUGGCAGACAGACUCCCCACAAGUCUCAGAGGCCACACAGACAUACCUACCUCCAAAGGUCCACACACAGUUGGCCUGGGGACAAGCAAAGCUUGUUGCUGUCUGUGAUGCAUAACAACGAACAUGCUGAACGUAAUAAAGCAACAACCUCUACAGGACAGCUGGUCUAUAAGGUGGCAUUCUUCAAAUCCUCAAAAAAACAGACACAACAUACAGAUAUGUUGGGGACUUGAUGGCACUGGUGUUGGAGGAGAUGUUUCAGGAACCAGAACCAUUCAUGGAGGAGCUGCAGAAAAUGCCU